AGUGAACGCUGGCGGUAGGCCUAACACAUGCAAGUCGAACGGCAGCACAGUAAGAGCUUGCUCUUACGGGUGGCGAGUGGCGGACGGGUGAGGAAUACAUCGGAAUCUACUUUUUCGUGGGGGAUAACGUAGGGAAACUUACGCUAAUACCGCAUACGACCUACGGGUGAAAGCAGGGGAUCUUCGGACCUUGCGCGAUUGAAUGAGCCGAUGUCGGAUUAGCUAGUUGGCGGGGUAAAGGCCCACCAAGGCGACGAUCCGUAGCUGGUCUGAGAGGAUGAUCAGCCACACUGGAACUGAGACACGGUCCAGACUCCUACGGGAGGCAGCAGUGGGGAAUAUUGGACAAUGGGCGCAAGCCUGAUCCAGCCAUACCGCGGUGGUGAAGAAGGCCUUCGGGUUGGAAAGCCCUUUUGUUGGGAAAGAAAAGCAGCAGGUUAAUACCCCGCUGUUCUGACGGUACCCAAAGAAUAAGCACCGGCUAACUUCGUG
rnacentral:rRNA from 1 species